rnacentral:rRNA from 1 species
GUGGGGAAUCUUCCGCAAUGGACGAAAGUCUGACGGAGCAACGCCGCGUGAGUGAUGAAGGUUUUCGGACUGUAAAGCUCUGUUGUUUAGGACGAAAGUGCCUGUUGCAAAUAGUUACAGGUAUUGACGGUACUGAACGAGGAAGCCACGGCUAACUACGUGCCAGCAGCCGCGGUAAUACGUAGGUGGCAAGCGUUGUCCGGAAUUAUUGGGCGUAAAGAGCAUGUAGGCGGGAAUCUAAGUCUGUUGUGAGAAUGCGGGGCUCAAGCCCGGAUUGCGAUGGAAACUGGGUUUCUUGAGUGCAGGAGAGGAAAGGGGAAUUCCCAGUGUAGCGGUGAAAUGCGUAGAUAUUGGGAGGAACACCAGUGGCGAAGGCGCCUUUCUGGACUGUGUCUGACGCUGAGAUGCGAAAGCCAGGGUAGCGAACGGGAUUAGAAACCCUAGUAGUCC